UCUUAUUUGUCCUUUUCAGAGAAUCUCCAUCGGACUUUUGGUAAGUUCAGGCAUAUCCCAACCCUCCCAAGUCACCGUGGGACUUCACUAGUGGCCUGGGGGACUAGAACCAGUGGCUUUUUGUAAGGCCCCUCCACCUUUUUUCUUCACAUUCAAGAUCUAUAGGAAUGUAGCAAUCAUUAAUGUACCAUAUUCCAGUGUCAGGCCCUACACUGAAUUUUACCAAUUGUAAACUUUAUAUGUAUACAUGCAUAUAUGUACUUAUGUGUAUAUAUAUGUAUAUAUAUUCAUCUUCUGAAUUAUAAAAAGUGGUUAAAGAGAUCCUUUGCACAUAAAAUUGCUUGCUGGUGGGAAAAAUCGUUAAGAGCACCUGCUGCUCCCCUAGAGGACCUAAAGUUCCAUUUCCUGACCCCACAGCAAACAGCUAUAUGCACAAGGAAUACAUAUGUAAGAAAAAAAAUUUUAAGUUAUGGUCUCACUGUGUAGCCCUGGCUAACCUGGAAUUCACUAUGAACAACAGGUUGGCUUUGAACUUACAGAGCUCCACACACUCUCCUUCCCCAGUGUUGGGAUUAAAGACAUGUGCCACCAUAUCCAGAAAAUUACAUUUAAAAAAAGUCAUCUGCUAUACUUAUAUGGCAGAGUUAGUUUUCAGGAAUGUAGUCCAAGCACAUGAUUCAACAGGGAAGUCUUCUUUGAGGAGAAAAUGAAACCUCACUAGUAACUUUUUGAGUCAGGGUUUCAUAUGGCUAUGCUGGCCUUCAAACUCACUAUGUCAUGAAGGUUGGCCUUGGACUUCUUCUCCUUCUACCUUCAACUCCCAAGAUUCUGGUAAAUGUAUACUCAACCAUGCAUGCCCCAACUAGAAUAUUAAGUCCUCAAGAAUCAUCUUCGCAUUUUCUUCACUUCAGAUUGCAGAGUUCCUAAGGACAACACCAGCAACAGAAGAAUACCCAAACGUUUGUUGAAUAGAUUCCACACAACU
rnacentral:lncRNA from 1 species